rnacentral:lncRNA from 1 species
GGGAUUGAAAGUGGAGCCGGUUGAAAAUGUUACGUCCAAAUUGUUUGUCCAAUGCUCACGUCAAAAAGACCUGAUAAAGAUCUACAGGCACCUACUAAAUUACUCAAGUACGGUGUGCUUUCAUCUUUCAUUACUGCUAUCUAUGUUAAGAAUUUUAUUUCAUGUUUGUAUUAUGUAUGUAUUCAAGACUAAUUAAUACCAAGUCUACUCGUUGCAGAAAAUGUAUUUAAUCUUUGCAGCUUCCCCAAUCUAGCUGGGACGAAGUAUAGACAAUUAAGACUGGGGUUCCAGGAGGUAGGAUUGACUCUUGGGAGAAUGUUUUUUCGUUCUUCGGAUCAGUACCUUUUGAUCGUUGUUACUAAUUUCAUUCUCUACAUGUAUUCCUUUCAGGUUGUGGUCUGUGGCCUUUUACGAGAUGGGAAAGUAAAUUUCCACCCAAAUGAUAACGAAGAGCUCAUGGAAACCGACAAACUAUUGUUUAUCGCACCUCUGAAUUGGAAAAAGAAGCAACUAUUAUAUGCAGACAUGAAACUUGAGAACAUUACAGUUGCGACUGAUACUCGGAAGCAAGUGUUUGAGAAAAAAAGAUCACGGCUAGCAAAAAUUAUAAUGCGUCCUCGUAAGUCCUUAUCAAAGGUCUGACUCCCAACUGGCCCCUGUAAUGCUUGAUUUAUACUGGCUUUCGAAAAUUUUGAGACCUCUGAUUUUCAUUUCUAUGGUUUACACAGGGAUCAGAUUCCAUCAAAGGACCCACAGAAUCUAUACUUUUACUUGGUUGGCGUGGAGACGUUGUGCAAAUGAUCGAGGAGUUUGAUAACUAUCUUGGUCCAGGCAGUUCAAUGGUAUGAUCAUAUACCAUUCAUUAUCUCUCUCCGGCUGGCUCUCACAUAAUGAGUUACUUAUAAGUUUCUGUUCACAGGAAAUAUUAUCGGAUGUACCGUUAGAGGACAGAAGAAGAGUGGGAGAUAGUAUGGGUUCAGUGAAAAUUAAGAACAUCCAAGUUUCACAUAAGGUAAAUUUCAUAUCCGGAGGCUAAAAGCAUCUGCAACAAGCUUGGAGUAAAGGUAAUCUUUAAACUUUUCAUCGUUGGGAAUCCUCUGAACUAUGAUACAUUAAAGCAAACUAUAAUCCGUAUGAAAAGUAAAUAUAGAAAAAGCAAAAAUAUUCCUUUGACCAUCCUUGUCAUAUCGGAUCGAGACUGGCUUCUUGGAGGUAAGCAUUCGCGACUAGUUCUUCUUAGUUCCGUCUUUUGCAAUAAUGGUAACACUUACAAAUAUUUGAUGUCUUUUAGAUCCAUCUAGAGCAGACAAACAAUCCGCUUACUCUCUUCUACUUGCUGAAAGCAUCUGCAACAAGCUUGGAGUAAAGGUAAUCUUUGAACUUUUCAUCGAAUCCUAACCACAUUGCGUAGGUAGAAUUCGUCUUACUUUUGUUGUUUCUUUAGGUACAUAAUCUAGCCUCUGAAAUCGUCGACUCAAAACUCGGGAAGCAGGUAUUCAAAGGCGUUUUUUUUUUCUGUUAGCUACUUUUUAUGGUUAAGUUGGUGAAACAUUAUACAAAACCAUACAGAUAACAGGACUCAAGCCGUCCCUAACUUUCAUAGCAGCAGAGGAAGUUAUGAGCCUUGUAACAGCACAAGGUUACAUUUCAUCAAUUCGAUUUUGUUUCUUGGUUAUCUAUCCACAAUCUGAACAAUAGUAAUACUCUUUAUAAUCAGUUGCUGAAAAUAGCGAACUGAACGAGGUAUGGAAGGACAUUCUAGACGCAGAUGGUGACGAGAUAUACGUAAAGGUUAAAAAAAGAAAAACACUCUUCCUUCAAAUAUUUUUGCCAGCGACUUUCACAAAUUUCAAAAUAAUUGCGGUCUGAGAAUCUCGAGUUUCCUUUGAAACACACAGGACAUUGAACUGUACAUGAAAGAGGGCGAGAACCCUUCAUUCACUGAGCUUUCAGAGCGAGCUUGGCUAAGGAGAGAAGUCGCCAUAGGCUACAUAAAGGGCGGUAAAAAGGUUUGUGUUUUAUUACUCUGCAACAUACAUUUAAAACCUCUUCCUCUUCACGAACAUCGGCAACCCAGAUUUGUUGUUGCAGAUAAUCAAUCCGGUUCCAAAGACAGAACCUCUCUCCCUCGAAAUGGAAGACUCAUUGAUUGUUAUAUCAGAGCUUGAAGGAGACCAACCCAUCGCACUAUGAAAAUAUAUACAAUCUCAUAUACCACAUAUGUUAUAGUUUAUUACAUACCAAGCGACUUUGGGCAAGGAGACUGACUCAUUGAUUGUUAUAUCAGAGCUUGAAGGAGACCAACCCAUCACACUAUGAAAAUAUAUACAAUCUCAUAUACCACAUAUGUUAUAGUUUCUCACACACCAAGCGACAUUGGGCAAGGAGACUGACUCACAAAUGCAAACAUUAAAUAAGUCGUUGAAUUUGUACAAAGAACCAAAAUUCUUUUACAUCGAAGCCCCUCUUUUGUUCAUUGGUCUUAAAUUUCAAUGAACGAUCUAAUUUCUAAUAACAAUCUUGUACAUGGAUCUAAACUAGCUCAAUCUAUGCUCUCCUUGACAAACUCUCUAGUUCGUUACUUAGGAGACAAAACAGAACAUGACAAAAACACAGCACCAAAUCUUAGAAUUCAUUUCACACUGUGAAGAGAGGAAAGUUUAAACUUUGAGAAAUGUUAACUGGAUAACAAGAGGUCAUUGAAACAAAAGCAGUACAUAUAAAUACAAAACCAAAUUAAGAACUGAGAGGAUGCAGUGCAGUUACACAAAGUGGUAGCAAAGCAAGCAGGGGAGAGAUAUAGAGACAAUUUGCCUAGAAACAUCUUUCAACAAAUCAAAGCAUGAAUAAAAAACACAAGAACAAAAAUUCUUCAGGCAAAUUUCUCUGCCUUUUUUUUUUUUGGCUUUUUCAUUUAUAUAUUUAUAUUAGGAAACAGUCUUGGAACUCUCUUGGUUCCUACACAAGGAAGCAAAUGCAUACAUAGAGUUAAAGGGAAAAAAAACCCGUGAAGGACUCUCUUGUGUUCCUUCUUUUCAGGAAGAAGAGACACGUUCUCUGUUAUUUACAGAAGCAAAUGAAAACAAAGAAACAAAGGAAACAAUUGGUACUCUAAUUCGAUUUCAUCACUUUAGCAAUUGACCACUUGUCAUCACCCUUCCACCCGUUAUUCCUCUGCAAGCUUGAGAAAAUUAGCGAUAUCUUCAGGUAGCUUUGGACAAUCACUGACAUAGAAUUUUCUAAGGUUAGGAAGAGUCCGAAAAUUCCAGCAGAUUUCCUUAAGUUCAUCCAAUUUAUAUAGCUCAAGGGAUUCCAGGUUCCCAAAGGGAAGAACAAUAUCUGGAUGCACUUUGGUAAUACUCAUUCCUUUCUCCUUAUUUAUUAUUUCUUCUAUUUCUCGUGAAAUGCCCACUCGUAGAUUCUUUAGAUUUUGAGCAAAUAACAGCCAUGACAAAUCCCUUUGCCCUUCCAAAUUGAAUAUAAAAACAGUGGAGAGUUGCUUGAAGCCUGGAUGAAUCUCCAUUGGUGAAAGCUCCCUUCUUUCUUUGCUUUCCCAAUCUAUCUUUAUCUCAAUUGAUAUGUUGCAACUCUCAAUUGCAAGGCGUUGAAGACCUCCCAGAGCUAUCGUGCUUAAUAUUACACGAGGUGCUGACAUUCCUUGUAGACAUAAACCUCGAAUACAACUCGCCAAUCGGUCAAUUCCUUGUAUCCUUUCCAAAAUCGUGGCAUCCUUUAUGUUUGCCGUUAAAAUCUUCAAGUGCUCCAAGUGCUGUAAUUCCUCCAUUAAUAUGUCAUCAACAUAAACUCGGGAAUAAAUUAAUUUCAACACUUGCAGAUUUGGUAAGGUUGUUGCUAUCCCAACAAGACUGAUCUCAAGUACACGAGUGUACUCCAGAUUCAAGUAGAUUAGUUUCCUCAACUUCUUCAGACCAACUGGUAGCGAUUUUAUCCUUGUGCGUGAUAAAUUGAGAUAUUGCAGGGAACCUAAGUUAGAAAUUUCUUCCGGCAAUCCAGUAAGCCCCCCGUUAGAAAGAUCCAAGACCACAAGUUUUGGCAUAAACCGAAAGAAUCCAACUGAAAUAUCCACCAACUGAAUGUUAUCUCGGAGUAAUAGGGUUGAAAGGUUGGGGCAGUUGGGACUGCAAGAUAUCUGCCAAAUGUGAGUACGAAUUAAAGACAUCUGUCUCACAAUCUCCCAAUUGAUGUCAUUUGGUAUCAUACGUACAUGAUCCCCAGAUUUCACACAAAUUGUUUCUUGCUGUUUUCCGAAGUCAGAAUUUAUCCACAGAGCCAUCUCACGUAUCACAUCAUGCAUUUUAACUUUGACACCACAAUCAAUCAACAAAUGUGCACGAACUAACAAGCCAAUUAUAUCAUAACCUUGGUUGGUACCUCCAUCUUCAUAUCUGUUCGGAUUUAUAAAUCCUUCGCAUAUCCAGUAUUCUAUCAACUCCUCCUUCUUUAUUUCAAAAUCUUCAGGAAACAAAGAACAAUAUAGGAAGCACGAUUUGAUUUCACCAUUCUUCAAGCUAUCAUAACUGAACUUCAAAACGCCAAGAAUUCUUUCUUUCAUACCUGGAAACUCGUGGCCAAGCGAAUUCAGAACAUUAAUCGCAUGACGCCAUUCUUGUAUAGACUCUUUACAUGCCAUGGCUUUGCCAAUGACAUUGAGUGCAAGUGGCAAGCCAUGACAUUUUGCAGCAACUAUUCUUGCAAGUGCGGGGAUAUCCUGAUGGCCUCCGAAUAUGACAUCUCCAACAGUAAUUCGAAACAUUGCCCACGCUUUAUUCUGGGGACAAACCAUUCAAUUUUAUCUGCUUGUUAUAUUUUAAGGGCUUGCACAAUUUCCUUCAAACGAAUGGUGAUACAAUACUGCGAGCCCCAUUCUCGAGUUGGAGGUGGACUCCUAUCUUGUUCAGAUNNNNNNNNNNNNNNNNNNNNNNNNNNNNNNNNNNNNNNNNNNNNNNNNNNNNNNNNNNNNNNNNNNNNNNNNNNNNNNNNNNNNNNNNNNNNNNNNNNNNGGUAUGAAGUUGAUACAGACGCAUUUCUUUCUGUAUUAGCCCUUCAACCUAUACAAAAGAUGGAAUCGAUCCCAACCAUUGUAGAGGUAAAUUAGGUAACUAUAUAUUGUGCAGUAAUGGUUCUGUUUAUAAUGCUUAUCUUUUACCUUUCUUGCUUCUGGAAAUGAAUGCAGGUAUCAAGCCCUAAUACGUAUGAUCUUCUCAAGUCUAUUUCGGGAUUGAAAGUGGAGCCGGUUGAAAAUGUUACGUCGAAAUUGUUUGUCCAAUGCUCACGUCAAAAAGACCUGAUAAAGAUCUACAGGCACCUACUAAAUUACUCAAGUACGGUGUGCUUUCAUCUUUCAUUACUGCUAUCUAUGUUAAGAAUUUUAUUUCAUGUUUGUAUUAUGUAUGUAUUCAAGACUAAUUAAUACCAAGUCUACUCGUUGCAG